UCCCUGGUGGUCCAGGGGUUAAGACUCUGUACUUCCAAUGCUGGGGCUCAGGUUCAAUCCUUGAUCGGGAAA
rnacentral:tRNA from 1 species